rnacentral:rRNA from 1 species
GAUGAACGCUAGCGGGAGGCCUAACACAUGCAAGUCGAACGGGAUUGGGAGCUUGCUCCCAUGAGAGUGGCGCACGGGUGAGUAACGCGUAUGCAACCUACCUUUAACAGAGGGAUAGCCCAUAGAAAUGUGGAUUAAUACCUCAUAGUUCUGAGAGACCGCAUGGUUUUUCAGAUAAAGCUCCGGCGGUUAAAGAUGGGCAUGCGUGACAUUAGUUAGUUGGUGAGGUAACGGCUCACCAAGACUACGAUGUCUAGGGGUUCUGAGAGGAUGAUCCCCCACACUGGUACUGAGACACGGACCAGACUCCUACGGGAGGCAGCAGUGAGGAAUAUUGGUCAAUGGGCGCAAGCCUGAACCAGCCAUCCCGCGUGAAGGAUGAAGGCCCUAUGGGUCGUAAACUUCUUUUAUACACCAAGAAAAAGCAGGACGUGUCCUGCCCCGACGGUAGUGUAUGAAUAAGCAUCGGCUAACUCCGUGCCAGCAGCCGCGGUAAUACGGAGGAUGCAAGCGUUAUCCGGAUUCAUUGGGUUUAAAGGGUGCGUAGGCGGCUUUUUAAGUCAGUGGUGAAAUCCUGUCGCUUAACGAUAGAAUUGCCAUUGAUACUGAAGAGCUUGAGUACAAUUGAGGUAAGCGGAAUGUGUAGUGUAGCGGUGAAAUGCUUAGAUAUUACACAGAACACCGAUUGCGAAGGCAGCUUACUAAACUGUUACUGACGCUGAUGCACGAAAGCGUGGGGAGCGAACAGGAUUAGAUACCCUGGUAGUCCACGCCGUAAACGAUGAUCACUCGCUGUAUGCGAUACACAGUAUGCGGCCAAGCGAAAGCAUUAAGUG